GACGAACGCUGGCGGCGUGCCUAAUACAUGCAAGUAGAACGCUGAAGGAGGAGCUUGCUUCUCUGGAUGAGUUGCGAACGGGUGAGUAACGCGUAGGUAACCUGCCUGGUAGCGGGGGAUAACUAUUGGAAACGAUAGCUAAUACCGCAUAAUAGUAGAUGUUGCAUGACAUUUGCUUAAAAGGUGCAAUUGCAUCACUACCAGAUGGACCUGCGUUGUAUUAGCUAGUUGGUGGGGUAACGGCUCACCAAGGCGACGAUACAUAGCCGACCUGAGAGGGUGAUCGGCCACACUGGGACUGAGACACGGCCCAGACUCCUACGGGAGGCAGCAGUAGGGAAUCUUCGGCAAUGGACGGAAGUCUGACCGAGCAACGCCGCGUGAGUGAAGAAGGUUGUCGGAUCGUAAAGCUCUGUUGUAAGAGAAGAGCGAGUGUGAGAGUGGAAAGUUCACACUGUGACGGUAGCUGACCAGAAAGGGACGGCUAACUACGUG
rnacentral:rRNA from 1 species